rnacentral:lncRNA from 10 species
AUCUGUUUCCUGAGCCAGCUCACAAAAGCUUCCCUAAGUCAGGACUUGCCUGCGCUCUUCCACAGGACCUACCAAAGAGUGAACAUUUCAGGACCCGGAGUCCCCUGCUAUCCAGGGGGCGAGGAACGCGGCUCUGCGGAGGAGCGGAAUCUUCUCAGCAGCGAUCUGCGAAGGGCUCAGCGGCCACAGGAGGGCGGCAGAGAACAGCGCUCCCUACAGAUCCAGACGUCGGCCCUGGAUGCUGUCUGGAAUCCAGGCAAGGCCAGGCUGGGCUGCCCUAGGCCGGGGACGUCUUUAGCUCGAGCAAAAACCCAUGAAUUUCAGAAUUCAGGAAUCCUUGCAUCCCUUCUCAAGCUCUCUAGUCCCUGAAAUGCCAUCGCCCUCCUCAGCCUCCCUUCCAUUUCUCGUUCUCCUAGCACUGGGGCUGCUGGCACAGAAGGACCCUGUGGCUUUUCCUUCAUGGUAUAGCAGAUGACACCCACGCUCCUCCGUGACAUUCCCUAGGGUCCCAGCUGAUAACUGGAGCUAGAACUAGAACCCACGACUUCUUGGUUCUCUGCGCAGGGGUCUUCCCAUUGUGUCAGCUGCAGCUCCUGAAAUAAAACCAUACCCUACAGGCCACAACCAGACAGCAUCUCAAAUCCCUGGCUUAAACAAUCAAUGCCAAAGCUACUGUGUUCCAUAUGUUUACAUAUGGAACUGGUGCAUACAAGACUGUUAACCCAGGACACAGAUGUGUGCUGUAGCUACCUGGCUGUGCACCC